rnacentral:tRNA from 1 species
GCGGCUAUAGCUCAGCUGGGAGAGCGUCGUAUGUCCAAUCUGAAGGUCCUGUGUUCGAUCCACAGUGGCCGCA